rnacentral:lncRNA from 1 species
UGCAAAGAAAGGAAAGAAGCAUAAAUUUUUCUGUUGGGUUGCUCAUCAUCCUGUUCUAGCAUUGGCAAUCCUGAGUGAGAUAAACACCUACUUUGAUAUUUAGUUUACCUUGAAAGAUGGUCUGAAACAUUCUGAGUGAGGAAAACACCUAUCACCGAGUCAACAACAGAUCCUUUCCACUUUGAAAAGCGUCUAUCUCCUGCAAAGUAGAGGUAUAAUUGAUUUUGUAAAUAUAUGCUGACAAGUGAAAAAUUUAGCAAUCAAGUGAAUAUGUUUCUGUUUUUUCUAUUAAUAAAUAUGCUUAAAGGCUGCUACUGAAAAUAUAAAGGACUUUUGUCUUUCAUAGCCGGGUGCCUUUAUAUGUUUCUCUUCCUUUGUGUUAAACUGUUCUUUAGAAUGCAUGUGGUUAGAAUAUUACAGUUAUUAAUCCUAAUAUAAGUAGGUUUGUGCUUGUGUCUUAGAAUGUGGGUCAUGAGCCUAAUUCAAUCCUACAAAACCGUCUUGUAAGGCAACCCUUACACCCCCCUCCCCUCCCUAACUACUUGGACCUUAUCACUGGUUGAUGUGGCAUAAGCCGCCACCCUUGAGGCUGCAAGUAAAGCAGCCACCAAAGAGGUCGCAACUAAGGCGAGCUAGGGAGGACCACAACUAAGGCAGCUUUCCAACAUUGUGCUAGUAGUACUGUUAUUCAACCUAAUUAUUAAUAUUAUGAUAUAUUAUGAUUGGAGUAUUAAUUUAGGGUAUUGUAUCAGAUUAAUCAUUUUUCUAUUUUCUCUACCUAAACCAUUAAUUCCAACACAUUUUAAUAUAUCCAAUAACUUUAGAAUGAGAAGUUCAAUGCUAAUUAUUAUUACUUGCAAAGAAACAGAGGUGCUAUAGAUAUCAUAGAAAGUAGUAAAAUGUCUGUCUUGAGUGCAUACAGUAUCUGCAUGUUUUGGGCUUCUUGGUACUUUAUGUUUGUGUAUAAUAUAUCUUACCUUGAAUAAGAUGCAUCCGUGCAAUGAAGGAAUCAACUCGUCCGUGAAAAACAUUUCUUUCUUCGUCCCACCACUUCUCUUUUUCCUUGUCAGUUCCUUCAAGGCCUUCACUUCCUCCUUUGCCCAUCAAUAGUUUCCAGGUUCUCUCUGUUUCUGCAUCAAGAUCCACUUUAGGCCUUGGUUUAUGUUUUUUAAGUAAUUCAAACUCCUGAUAGGGUACAACUGAACGAUCUCCAUUAUAUGGGACUAGGGCCUUUUGUCCUUCCAUCUCUGUCAUGUUGCUCUCCCCAAGUUUGAGAUCAUUCAGUUGACAAAUUAUCUCAUCUAUCAGAUUAGAGUAUAUCUGGUGUGGUUCCUCUGAAAAUUAAGAAAUAGAUAUUUGUAACUAUAUGUUUACUGAAAACUGCAUUCCUUUUAUAAAACACACAUUACCUGAGAUAGCAAAGCAUUCACCAGUGCUGGCUCCAUUGUUUUGCUGCUCCACAAAUCUAUUACUUUCAAUACAUAUAUCUGGUAUUUCUUCAUUAGACUGUGUUUGAAAUCCAUUUUUGUCUUUUGUUCUUGCGUUCUGGGGAUUCUCUUUAGACAUUAUUUGGCUGGAAGACCUUCCACUGACUUUUGCAUUGCGUCUAUUUUGAGUUUUUUUAAUCUUCUGUUUUUUAAUGACAUCUUCGGCAGGAGUUGCACCUCUGAAAUUUUCAUUUGCUUGUAAAGUCUCUUGGCACAAGGAAGUAUCAUGUGAAUUUGUGGCCGAGUCAUGUUGCUUCUGAGUUCUUUUGCGAUAUUUUCUCUUGGAACCCUUUGCUGCUUCAAUGGAAUUGGAGAGGAUGUUAGGCACCAACUGAAG